UCACCGGCACAAAGUAUCUGGAUUCAGCAUCUCUGUACCUCUAUACAUAGCACCUCACAGCUCUCCUGGAAAGUCCACGCGCUUCUCUGCUCUAUUUGCUGGCCUCCAGAUUCAGAUUUCAGAAACUAGCGAUCGAUCUGAAGCUCGAUCCGGCACCAUCGAUCUGAAGCUCGACCCGCCCUCGUGAACGGUGAACCCAGUAUCAGGGGAAUGCUUGGGAAUGGGAUGGUCGCCGUAAACAUGUUCAAUGAAACGCUCGAUAUUCUUGAGAACAAAUACAAUGAAGAGGUCGGUUGCUUAAUGAAGACGAAGCACAAGAGUUUAGUGUGUUUUCUGGGUUCUCGGACAAGAGGAAUAAUUGUAGACUACGAGGGAGCAUCUUCUAUACUUGUAUGGAGAAAGUGUCAUGAAGUAAUCAAGAGAAUUUGUGAGGGUUUAUAUCAUCUGCAUAUGAAGCAGCGUAAUGUCCAUUUGAAUCUGAAACCAGCGAACAUAUUGUUGGAUGAUAAUAUGGUACCAAAAAUCGCUAACUUUGGACUACAUUUAAAGUCAGACAUAUACAGCUUGGGUGUUAUAAUCAUAAAGAUACUAUCAGGUGAGAAGGGAUAUCGCUAUGUUGAGGAACAACAACCUAUAUGACUACAUUAUUUUACAUUAUAUCAUUCCUUCUUUAAACACUGUGUAAUGUUAUUUUGUUUCAAGAGCACGCAAGAGCUAGCACAUCGAUACUGACCAGGAAUCUUGUGACUACAGGGUUGCCUGAUUGGUUGUCUAAUGAAGGCGAAGCACAAAAACAUAGUACGAUUUCUGGGAUAUUGUGCUUACACACAAGAGACAAUUAAAGUCCGUUAUGGCUUUUAUAUUAAAGAGGUUGCUCUGUUUCGAGUAUCUACCUAAAGGAAGCCUUGAUAAGUAUAUUAUUGGUAUAUCUUCACGUGAAUCGGCGUAUUUUCCACUUACACCAUACACCUGCAAACAUACUUUUAGAUGAGAAUAUGGUACCAAAAAUUACUGAUUUUGGUCUCUCAAGAUGCUUUGAUGAAAAGUAAAGCUAGGCUUAUACUUAGAAGAUAGUAACAUGAAAGAAGGGGCAACACGAUGUUGCAUAUGUAAGAAUAAUCUAUAUGACUAGAUCACUGUACAUUGUAUUCUUUCUUGAUUAGACAUUGCAUAAUUUUAUUCUUUCUCAAAAAACACACAAUUUUUGUUGCUUUGCGUAGUAGUAUCAUUCUUGUAAGCUCAUCCAGUAGGGAAAUGCACAAAUUGCUACAAAAGAAUAUGAAAACAUUUUGGCAUGAGGUGAAAGGUAAUCCCUCUAUUCCAAAAGAAUUGUGCAUAUGGAUGUUGUCCAAAAUCAGACUUUCUAAGCUUUGAAUUUUUUAUGAAAAAAAUCAUUUAUAAUACCUAUUCAGUACCAUUACAUCAGCUUGAAACAUUAUUAUAUUACAGAUGUUGAUAUUUUAAAAAGUUGAGCAAAAAUUUACAAAGUUUGACUUAGGAAAUAAUCUGCAUGAUAUAUGGAUAUAUAUUUUGGAAUAGAGGGAGUAGCACUCGUAUGUGUAAAAAGUGAGCUAAGGUUAUAACUACCACUAUUAUUUACAUGAAACAUCCUACUUUCUUUAACCUAAAAGGUGUAAAUUUUGUUGGGUUUGUAUUCAAUUAGAUACCGUAGAGUCACAAUUAGUUUUUUGGGUGAUAUCCUAGGUAAUUGGUAUUUGUAGAUGUUGUAUUGUGAUCCAAAUUCAUAUACUAAAGGUAGGCUAACUUCUGACGAGCGGAGCGAGGCCCGUCGCUGGAGGCUUGGGCCGAAGCGUUUGAGCUUGGUUGGUAUAACUGUUUAGCCCAAGUGGCUGUUGGCGCCAGCAAGUGUUUUUCCUUUGAUGUUCAGGAGAUUGUUGAAGUUCAUGCUACAAGAUGGAAUUUGUCUCAAGGUGGAGUUUGUUGUAUUGUGAUCCAAAUUCAUAUACUAAAGGGAGGCUAACUUCUGACGAGCGGAGCGAGGCCCGUCGCCGGAG